AGAUUGAACGCUGGCGGCAUGCCUUACACAUGCAAGUCGAACGGCAGCACGGGAGCAAUCCUGGUGGCGAGUGGCGAACGGGUGAGUAAUAUAUCGGAACGUGCCCAGUCGUGGGGGAUAACGCAGUGAAAGCUGUGCUAAUACCGCAUACGAUCUAUGGAUGAAAGCGGGGGACUCGCAAGAGCCUCGCGCGAUUGGAGCGGCCGAUAU
rnacentral:rRNA from 1 species